UACGAAGGGGGGCUAGCGUUGUUCGGAAUUACUGGGCGUAAAGGGUUUGUAGGCGGUUACACAAGUCAGUGGUGAAAGCCCGGGGCUUAACCCCGGAAUUGCCAUUGAAACUGUAUAGCUAGAGAGUGUUAGAGGAAAGUGGAAUUCCUAGUGUAGGAGUGAAAUCCGUAGAGAUUAGGAGGAAUAUCGAUGGCGAAGGCAGCUUCUGGGACAUUUCUGACGCUGAGAAACGAAAGCGUGGGUAGCAAACAGG
rnacentral:rRNA from 1 species